rnacentral:rRNA from 1 species
UACGUAGGGGGCAAGCGUUGUCCGGAUUUAUUGGGCGUAAAGAGCGUGUAGGCGGUUUGGUAGGUCCGUUGUGAAAACUCGAGGCUCAACCUCGAGACGCCGAUGGAAACCAUCAGACUAGAGUCCGGAAGAGGAGAGUGGAAUUCCUGGUGUAGCGGUGAAAUGCGCAGAUAUCAGGAAGAACACCCGUGGCUAAGGCGGCUUACUGGUCCGGUUCUGACGCUGAGGCGCGAAAGCGUGGGGAGCGAUCCGG